rnacentral:rRNA from 1 species
UGGGGAAUAUUGGACAAUGGGGGCAACCCUGAUCCAGCAACGCCGCGUGGAGGAAGAAGGCCUUCGGGUCGUAAACUCCUGUCAGGGGGGAAGAAAACACGUCGGAAAAUAUCCGAUCGUGCUUGACGGUACCUCCAGAGGAAGCCCCGGCUAACUCCGUGCCAGCAGCCGCGGUAAUACGGAGGGGGCUAGCGUUAUUCGGAAUUAUUGGGCGUAAAGGGCGCGUAGGCGGCUUUGCAAGUCAAAGGUGAAAUCCCUCGGCUCAACCGAGGACCUGCCUUUGAAACUGCAUCGCUUGAGGCCGGGAGGGGGUAGCGGAAUUCCCAGUGUAGCGGUGAAAUGCGUAGAUAUUGGGAGGAACACCAGUGGCGAAGGCGGCUACCUGGACCGGUUCUGACGCUGAUGCGCGAAAGCGUGGGGAGCAA